AUGGGAUGGAGCUGGAGCAUCCUCUUCCUCCUGUCAAUAACUGCAGGUGUCCACUCCCAGGUCCAGCUGCAGCAGUCAGGUCCUGGACUGGGGAAACUUGGGUCCUCAGUGAAGUUGUCCUGCAAGGCUUCUGGCUACACCUUCACCGGCUAUUAUAUGAACUGGGUGAAGCAGAGGCUUGGACAGGGUUUGGAGUGGAUUGGAAGGAUUUAUCCUGGAGAUGGCGAUACUGACUACAACCAGAAGUUCAAGGACAAAGCCAAACUGACUGCAGACAAAUCCUCCAGCACAGCCUAUAUGGAGCUCAGCAGCCUGAUCUCUGAGGACUCUGCAGUCUAUUACUGUGCAACACACAGUGUUGCAACCACAUCCUGA